GGGUUGUGAGGUUAAGCGACUAAGCGUACACGGUGGAUGCCCUGGCAGUCAGAGGCGAUGAAGGACGUGCUAAUCUGCGAAAAGCGUCGGUAAGGUGAUAUGAACCGUUAUAGCCGGCGAUGUCCGAAUGGGGAAACCCAGUGUGAUUCGUCACACUAUCGUUAACUGAAUACAUAGGUUAACGAGGCGAACCGGGGGAACUGAAACAUCUAAGUACCCCGAGGAAAAGAAAUCAACCGAGAUUCCCCCAGUAGCGGCGAGCGAACGGGGAGCAGCCCAGAGUCUGAAUCAGCUUGUGUGUUAGUGGAACGGUCUGGAAAGUCCGACGGUACAGGGUGAUAGUCCCGUACACCAAAAUGCACAGGUUGUGAACUCGAAGAGUAGGGCGGGACACGUGGUAUCCUGUCUGAAUAUGGGGGGACCAUCCUCCAAGGCUAAAUACUCCUGACUGACCGAUAGUGAACCAGUACCGUGAGGGAAAGGCGAAAAGAACCCCGGCGAGGGGAGUGAAAAAGAACCUGAAACCGUGUACGUACAAGCAGUGGGAGCACCUUCGGGUGUGACUGCGUACCUUUUGUAUAAUGGGUCAGCGACUUAUAUUCUGUAGCAAGGUUAACCGUAUAGGGGAGCCGCAGGGAAACCGAGUCUUAACUGGGCGUUAAGUUGCAGGGUAUAGACCCGAAACCCGGUGAUCUAGCCAUGGGCAGGUUGAAGGUUGGGUAACACUAACUGGAGGACCGAACCGACUAAUGUUGAAAAAUUAGCGGAUGACUUGUGGCUGGGGGUGAAAGGCCAAUCAAACCGGGAGAUAGCUGGUUCUCCCCGAAAGCUAUUUAGGUAGCGCCUCGUGAAUUCAUCUUCGGGGGUAGAGCACUGUUUCGGCUAGGGGGUCAUCCCGACUUACCAACCCGAUGCAAACUACGAAUACCGAAGAAUGUUAUCACGGGAGACACACGGCGGGUGCUAACGUCCGUCGUGAAGAGGGAAACAACCCAGACCGCCAGCUAAGGUCCCAAAGUCAUGGUUAAGUGGGAAACGAUGUGGGAAGGCACAGACAGCCAGGAUGUUGGCUUAGAAGCAGCCAUCAUUUAAAGAAAGCGUAAUAGCUCACUGGUCGAGUCGGCCUGCGCGGAAGAUGUAACGGGGCUAAACCAUGCACCGAAGCUGCGGCAGCGACACUAUGUGUUGUUGGGUAGGGGAGCGUUCUGUAAGCCUGCGAAGGUGUGCUGUGAGGCAUGCUGGAGGUAUCAGAAGUGCGAAUGCUGACAUAAGUAACGAUAAAGCGGGUGAAAAGCCCGCUCGCCGGAAGACCAAGGGUUCCUGUCCAACGUUAAUCGGGGCAGGGUGAGUCGACCCCUAAGGCGAGGCCGAAAGGCGUAGUCGAUGGGAAACAGGUUAAUAUUCCUGUACUUGGUGUUACUGCGAAGGGGGGACGGAGAAGGCUAUGUUAGCCGGGCGACGGUUGUCCCGGUUUAAGCAUGUAGGCUGGUUGUCCAGGCAAAUCCGGAUAAUCAAGGCUGAGGUGUGAUGACGAGGCACUACGGUGCUGAAGUAACAAAUGCCCUGCUUCCAGGAAAAGCCUCUAAGCAUCAGGUAACAUCAAAUCGUACCCCAAACCGACACAGGUGGUCAGGUAGAGAAUACCAAGGCGCUUGAGAGAACUCGGGUGAAGGAACUAGGCAAAAUGGUGCCGUAACUUCGGGAGAAGGCACGCUGGUGUGUAGGUGAAGUCCCUGCGGAUGGAGCUGAGACCAGUCGAAGAUACCAGCUGGCUGCAACUGUUUAUUAAAAACACAGCACUGUGCAAACACGAAAGUGGACGUAUACGGUGUGACGCCUGCCCGGUGCCGGAAGGUUAAUUGAUGGGGUUAUCCGUAAGGAGAAGCUCUUGAUCGAAGCCCCGGUAAACGGCGGCCGUAACUAUAACGGUCCUAAGGUAGCGAAAUUCCUUGUCGGGUAAGUUCCGACCUGCACGAAUGGCGUAAUGAUGGCCAGGCUGUCUCCACCCGAGACUCAGUGAAAUUGAACUCGCUGUGAAGAUGCAGUGUACCCGCGGCAAGACGGAAAGACCCCGUGAACCUUUACUAUAGCUUGACACUGAACAUUGAGCCUUGAUGUGUAGGAUAGGUGGGAGGCUUUGAAGCGUGGACGCCAGUCUGCGUGGAGCCAACCUUGAAAUACCACCCUUUAAUGUUUGAUGUUCUAACGUUGGCCCCUGACCGGGGUUGCGGACAGUGUCUGGUGGGUAGUUUGACUGGGGCGGUCUCCUCCCAAAGCGUAACGGAGGAGCACGAAGGUUAGCUAAUCCUGGUCGGACAUCAGGAGGUUAGUGCAAUGGCAUAAGCUAGCUUGACUGCGAGCGUGACGGCGCGAGCAGGUGCGAAAGCAGGUCAUAGUGAUCCGGUGGUUCUGAAUGGAAGGGCCAUCGCUCAACGGAUAAAAGGUACUCCGGGGAUAACAGGCUGAUACCGCCCAAGAGUUCAUAUCGACGGCGGUGUUUGGCACCUCGAUGUCGGCUCAUCACAUCCUGGGGCUGAAGUAGGUCCCAAGGGUAUGGCUGUUCGCCAUUUAAAGUGGUACGCGAGCUGGGUUUAGAACGUCGUGAGACAGUUCGGUCCCUAUCUGCCGUGGGCGCUGGAGAAUUGAGGGGGGCUGCUCCUAGUACGAGAGGACCGGAGUGGACGCAUCACUGGUGUUCGGGUUGUCAUGCCAAUGGCACUGCCCGGUAGCUAAAUGCGGAAGAGAUAAGUGCUGAAAGCAUCUAAGCACGAAACUUGCCCCGAGAUGAGUUCUCCCUGAGACUUUAAGUCUCCUGAAGGAACGUUGAAGACGACGACGUUGAUAGGCCGGGUGUGUAAGCGCAGCGAUGCGUUGAGCUAACCGGUACUAAUGAACCGUGAGGCUUAACCUUACAACGCCGAAG
rnacentral:rRNA from 1 species